CAUUACCAUUCAUUGAUUUGUCAUUUCAAAGCACCCAUCCGUUCUGACAUAGCUAUUAUCAAGAAUAAAGCUUUUAUUUGCUAUCACUUUUGAAAUCAGAUUCCUUAUCUCCUUCUUCAAUCUGGUCUUCUUGACCAUCUUCCCUCCAAGUCGGAAGGAUGCCGAUUCAACUCCUCUCCCACUAGGUAAGAGAUCUCUCCUCUAUCUAGAGUAUUCUUUGCGAAUCUGUGUGCUUGCGAGUUCCCUGAUCUAUGAAUAUGCUGAAAGGUAAUCUCUUGAAAAUAAAAUUUCUUGUUCUGAAUGUCUUUUAUGAUCGCUCGAAUCUCUGAUUUAUCUAUUGAAGACGUUUGACAUUUUUAAUUAUUGUUCUAGAAUCCCCCAUGAUUUUAACCGAUUGUAUACCCAUUGAUAUCCCUAACUUUAUGCCUUCCAAACAUGCAAACGCUUCUACUGCGAACGGGGAAGAAACAUUAUUGUGAAGGGUCGAUUUUAAGACCAGGAGCUCGCCCGUCAGGCCCUAAACCACCAGGCAUGUUGCUAAUUUGAAGUUUCGAAUGUCGAACGCUGCAUCAAACUGGAUCGUUAUUCUCGGUAUGUCCUCCUGACCUUUGUGAUUCUUGUUUGUAUUAAAAGGAUUUGGGGUUUCUCUUACCCCUUCAUUUUCUGCCAUAUACCCCUGUAUUUGAUGAGCAAGUUCUCUACAUGUUGUUUCCUUCCUCUCGUGAAUGAGCUGAUUUCUGGAAAACCAGAUUAGCCAUAAAGUAAUACAGAAAAGGCGACAUUGUUCUGCAGUUCCUCUCUUGAAAACCCAGGGCAUUGACGAAAAACAUGAGGACUAUCUUCAACUCAAUAACGGCAACGAGGACAUCUGUCACUUGCAGAAACUCUUCUAUAUCUGAGAUUAGCUAGAUGAUAGAUGAAAUCCCAAGAGAUUCGCCAAAUAAUUAUAGUGAUUUUUGAAGGAAGUUGUAAACCCUAUAAUUUUUUGUAGAAAUCUGUAAUUUCGGUUUGUAUUAAGAAAUUACUAGGAUCUGGAUUAGCCCCUUGUAAUAGUUUAUAGGCGCUGUGAACUAAAAAUUCCCCGAACAGUUCUCCUUUCCAGACUUGAAUAUCUUCAUGGUCCGUCUCUGUAAGUCGGAUCUGUGAAAUUUUCUUCGUAAUUUCUGCUGAAAAGGUAUUGUAAAUCAAA